GACGAACGCUGGCGGCGUGCUUAACACAUGCAAGUCGAGCGGUAAGGCCCUUUCGGGGGUACACGAGCGGCGAACGGGUGAGUAACACGUGGGUGACCUGCCCUCAGCUCUGGGAUAAGCCUGGGAAACCGGGUCUAAUACUGGAUAUGACUCCAUGACGCAUGUUGUGGGGUGGAAAGCCUUGUGCGGCCGAGGAUGGGCCCGCGGCCUAUCAGCUUGUUGGUGGGGUGAUGGCCUACCAAGGCGACGACGGGUAGCCGGCCUGAGAGGGCGACCGGCCACACUGGGACUGAGACACGGCCCAGACUCCUACGGGAGGCAGCAGUGGGGAAUCUUGCGCAAUGGGCGAAAGCCUGACGCAGCGACGCCGCGUGAGGGAUGACGGCCU
rnacentral:rRNA from 1 species